AUUGAACGCUGGCGGCAGGCCUAACACAUGCAAGUCGAACGGUAACAGGAAGAAGCUUGCUUCUUUGCUGACGAGUGGCGGACGGGUGAGUAAUGUCUGGGAAACUGCCUGAUGGAGGGGGAUAACUACUGGAAACGGUAGCUAAUACCGCAUAACGUCGCAAGACCAAAGAGGGGGACCUUCGGGCCUCUUGCCAUCGGAUGUGCCCAGAUGGGAUUAGCUAGUAGGUGGGGUAACGGCUCACCUAGGCGACGAUCCCUAGCUGGUCUGAGAGGAUGACCAGCCACGCUGGAACUGAGACACGGUCCAGACUCCUACGGGAGGCAGAAGUGGGGAAUAUUGAACAAUGGGCGCAAGCCUGAUGCAGCCAUGCCGCGUGUAUGAAGAAGGCCUUCGGGUUGUAAAGUACUUUCAGCGGGGAGGAAGGGAGUAAAGUUAAUACCUUUGCUCAUUGACGUUACCCGCAGAAGAAGCACCGGCUAACUCCGUG
rnacentral:rRNA from 1 species